rnacentral:lncRNA from 1 species
AAUUCUUCUUCUGCUUCUGGUAAAUCAAAAGGUAAUCUUUCACACUCGGCGAGAGAAGAAAUUAGAAAAACGAUAAACCCGAUGGGUUGACGCCACAAAUUCCACCCCCAAAAACCAUAUUUUGACUGCGCUUCCACUAUAUCAACUGUACUUAAACUGUUAGAUAAUCAUAGUCGAUGAUAACAUCACUGUGCCCAUCGCUAUUACAGAACCGUACGUGAGAUUUUCACCUCAUACGGCUCCUCAGAGGUCACAACUAAAUCUAAGGGCCCUUUCCUAUUCUUUAUCUUGAUAUGUUUGUCAGAUAGAGUCAAAAUCUAUUCUAAGGUCCCAAAUUAGACCAAUGGAAUUCUGUCUGCUAUAUUUAAAACUAAUAAAUAAGUGCUUCUGAAUUUAUCUCAUCUUUUAAGAAUUUUAAUUUUUCUUUGUUGAUUAAUAACCUUAUCAUUAAAUAAAAAAAUGUGCUUUAUAGCAAUAUCACAUAUACAUUUCAACCUCGAAUUUUCAAUUACGAAAAAAAUUAGAGAGUACAUUAGUUCAUGAAUCAUGACAAAAAUUUUAUCUCUCUAAAUAGAAAUAAAAAUUGAAUUAUAGGAAAGAAAGAAUAAAAACAAAAAAAGACAUCCCUCCUUUUUCCUUUUGCAAUUAGCUUCUUUUCUUUCUAUUUCGAUUUUUUUAUUUCAUUCCUAUUCUCCUUUCUCAGAAAAAGGGUCUUUAACCAAAGUAAAAGAUUACUUCGUUCUUGAUAGUUAGUUACUUACUCAGUGGAUAGGAACAUACUCUGGAUCAGAAUCAUGGGGAGUACUUCUUGAUCAUUUCUACGAACGUAAAGCCCCAAUUUGAAUUCCUUUUAUGUACAGAAAUAUCCUCUUGGAUAACUUACAUAAUCUCAAUUACUAAUCCUUUGUGUAUCUUAGUCUUCCUAACCAUCCACUCAUUUUUUGUUUCAAAAACCUCCCGUUGUGGAAAUCCAUCUAUGGUAAUAGACAGUAAAAACUCCAUAGAGUUGGUCUUUUGAACCCGCUUCAAGCUAUCAUGACAAUUCACGAAUCUUGGGGUAAACAAUCUCUCUUGCUUAUGUUUACUUUUUUCACCAUUUGAUUCUUGUACAUAGGAAAUGAGACUCAACUUUUUUACUGCAAAUUUAGAAGCCGUUUUCUUUCACUCAUAUAACUAUCUGAUUUAGUUCAUCAACUCAAAUGCUGAAGAAAAAAAAUAUAUAUAAUCAAUCAAAUCUUUUUAUCCUUGUUUCUAGAAAGAAAAGAAUUUGGAUAAAUUUUAGGUCUCACCGAAUCACACGUAGAGAUAUUGAUAACACACAUAGAGCUAAUGGUAUUUCAUAACUAAUUGAUUGAGCAGCUGCCCGUAGACCACCUAAAAAGGAAUAUUUAUUAUUUGAUCCAUACCCCGACAUAAGAAGUCCAACGGGAGCAAUACUUGAAAUGGCA